rnacentral:lncRNA from 1 species
GUGACAUUUCAAAAGCCUGUUGUAACUAGAGGUAGAAAACCCCAUCGUCUCAGCCCAGAACCUUCUUAAGCUGAUAAGCAACUUCAGCAAAGUGUCAGGAUGCAAAAUCAAUGUGCAAAAAGUGCUAGCAUUUUUAAUGUGGAUAAGACAAAAAAAUACACAUCUCAAACAUUUAGCAUAUUAACGUAAAAUAGAGGUAUAGACUCAGUGCUUUAUGCUGGACUAGUUAUGUAUGAUCAUGUGUACAUUUUCAUCAAUUUGUGAGACCAAGUUCUUUCUCACAAUAGGAUACUUCAAUGGCAUUUUGAUACAUCAUGUCUCUUCAAUCUGCAAGCCUGUACUAGGCCUUAUUCUCAUAGUUGAUUUUUCCUUGAUCAGCAUAGUUUUUGCACUUAAUAGAUUGUUUCUUACAACUGUUGUAUGCCAUGAAUAACAGUUUACAUUAUUUUAUAAUUUUUCACCAAGACCCUUUU